UAUUUCUACACAGCAUUCAACUGCGACCAAUGACAUGAAAAAUCAUCGUUGUAAUUCAACUACAGAAAC
rnacentral:tRNA from 2 species